GGAAAGGUCACUUAUUUAUUGAUACUGUGUCACAUUUCCCUCAGCCCGGAAUGGCUGUGAGUUUGUGCUCUUCUCAGUGGGGGAUUGGAGAAGGUUUUGGCUGUAAUUAGCAGUCGGAGAAAAAUCCUGCUAAAUAAAAGUGUCUCACCUCUGUCCCCCCUAAGUUAUCCCAGUUUGUCCCAGCUUGGAGCUGCGCAGAAGUCAGGCAGGGGAAAUGACCUCAGGGAUACAGCUGUCAGUUCCAAGGCAGCGAGAGAAGAUGUAGCAGCCAAGGGCAGGGGAGGGGAAAGGUUUCAGAAAGCAUUUCUGUGGUGUAAUGAAUGCCAAUUUCUGCUUGCCCAGGGAGAAGAGGACGAACUCCCAGCCAUUCAGGCCUGACAGUCCCCUGCAGCGAGGGCAUACACUGGAAGAGUUCAGGGUCGAAGACAAGGCUGAGGGAAAAUCCAGGGUAUUUAUAAGGGAUGAUGGGAGGUGGGUCCAGGGUGAGAAUCCAGUGGGUAAAGGGAAAAGUGGUGUAAGGGAGGAGUAAUACAGGGCAGGGGCCGAUAAGGUAGGAUGGGUGGAACAGUGCAGUGAACAUAAACCAGUGGGGGGGGCGGGGGGGUACAGGGAUACAAGAACUUUCCAGAGCUGGGAGGAGACAAGGGAUGACAUAACUGGGAAUAGAGGCAACCAAUGGGAAAUGAGGGUUAUAAAGCUUUACCUUAAAGCUUUGCCAUAAAGAAUUUUUAAAACCUUUGACAACCUUCUUAGGAGCUAUUCUAAACUUAAACAAAUGCCCUCCAAGGUCUGGGGCCAUGGGCCAACUCCUCACCCAAAACACUGGUCUGGCUUGGCAUGUCAGUCAGUCCGAUUCCUACACUGGGCCUCUGCAUGAUAUUCGCCCAGAAGCUGCCUUUCAAGGACUGAAGUGGAACAAAAAGUAUAAAAGAAAUGUCAUUCCCAGAGGGAAAACAGUUUCAUUUCUCUUGUGUCUACUUUUUUUUUUUUUUUUAACAGUUACCUCAAAAUUCCCGGAUCCAGAACAGCUACUCUGAGUUUUGGUAGAGAUUCCAAAGCGGGAUACAGUAGGUUUCAAAGUACACCUUGGAAAAUCAAUCGUUUGUCUGCAGCAUGCAGCAUGUAGGUGUGAUGUCUGUAACUGGUCUUAGUUGAUGCAGAGGUACUUGGAAAAAAACGUUUAAUCUUUCAUCUCUCCCCACCUGCAUUCUUCCUAAGUGUACUUUUUAUUCAGCAGGACUCGGAUGAGAGAGAGAGAGAGAGAGAGAGAGAGGAACUCUCUUCACAUCAGCGUCAAAGGAAAAAGUGUUCAGCGACUUACAGUCCUAGUGACUGUUCUGUGUAAAAGCAGGAUUGUUUUGCCAUCAGACCUUGCGUGCCGUACCAGUCUGUGCGUUAACAGGGCAGCGUCUUAGCCCAGGUCUCGGGGGCUGUGCGGAGGUUGCUCCCUGGAGCAGGGUCCCCCCGUGAGGAGGAGCCAGAGAUUGGGUCACUGGAGCAGGUAAGGAUCUGUUUCCAUUUAGUCCUUGUUUUUGCUGGCUUUAACGUCACGGCUGCAGCGUUCCUUCGGACCUUGUGCCCCGCAGCAGCAGUUCCAGCUGCUGAGCUGGGUGGGGAGCCGUUCUGGGCUGGGGCUUUCAGCCUCCCGGGCGUCCAUUGAAAUCAGCCCUUUGUUUGAUUUCCUUCAGUCUCUGGGGUUUGCCACCCUCGGUGCCACGGGACCGAGCUGUGCGAAGGCUCGAUCCCGUCGGUCCAAAGUCCUGGGCAGCGUUUCCAGCAGCAGGGGCUGGAGGCAUCGGGGGCUGCCUUUGGAGCCUUGUUCUCCCCUUGGCUUUUACAGAGGGUGCCAGACUCUGCCCUUAAGGAUCCAGUGUUGCUUUUGGACGUUGAUCCUGCAGCUGGACAGGCGGUGCAGUGAGGAGCAAGUUGCUGGCUUACGUGAUUUCUGAGUGACCUGUCACAGAAACGGGCAUCUGUGUGUGCAGGUGCUUCCUGGCAAAUCCAGAUGUGACGUGGAAAUCCUAAGGGAGGAGUUCCAGCCUUG